rnacentral:rRNA from 1 species
CUACUGGGGUUUCUAAUCCUGUUCGCUCCCCAUGCUUUCGCUCCUCAGCGUCAGUAACAGCCCAGAGACCUGCCUUCGCCAUCGGUGUUCCUCCUGAUAUCUGCGCAUUUCACCGCUACACCAGGAAUUCCAGUCUCCCCUACUGCACUCUAGUCUGCCCGUACCCACUGCAGACCCGGGGUUGAGCCCCGGGCUUUCACAGCAGACGCGACAAACCGCCUACGAGCUCUUUACGCCCAAUAAUUCCGGACAACGCUUGCGCCCUACGUAUUACCGCGGCUGCUGGCAC